UUCAAGGUCUUACAAAUGCUACAGACUUGAACCAGUAUCCCAAAAACAUUUAUUUAAGACUGGUGAAUGUGCUUUUUAAGAGAUCGAUGAAAAGAAUUGCUUCUUGUUCUUUCCGUCUGUCGAUUUAUUCUAUACUUUUUAAUACUUCUGAAACCUCUUCUGUAGUUACCUACAGAGUACAGUAGUUAGGCAGAGAAGAAGAAAAACCCGGGAAUAAAUACUUGAACCCAGAUAUCUUGGGUGAAAUCUCCAUUUGAGUGACGGAAUUCAUGUCUCGGGAGUGGGAGAAGAAGCAAAUAUUUUACCCAGCAAAACAGGUUGUCCGGUUCCGGUCUUUGGAUAAACACGAGGAAGAUGCUUUUACUCUAGAGCUGUCAAACACGAUGAAAUGUCACGAGGUUGAGAGAAGAGUCGCUGACCAGCUUGGUUUGAAUUAUCCAACCGAAAUCGGCAUGACCAGAAUCAGACUUACAUCUCACAGCUAUCACUCUGACCAUCCUAAAUAUGAACCUGAGAGAUGUGGAGAUACAAGUCUGUUGGAUAUGUUGGGUCACAAAUUUAAGGUUCAGCUAUCUCGUCCAAAUGCAGAACUUGGAUUGCUUUUAGUUCGCUCUAACAGUAUCCAAAAGAUUUACCCGCUUAAUGAAAGUUUUGACAAACUACCUAAAACAUGGUCGUUGCGUGCAGAGGAGGUUUUAGAGGGAGAGAAAUAUAUAGGUCCUCGUGACAUAAUGAUCCAAGUUAAUCACGUCAACAAAGAAGCAUUUAAACGAAAAAUGAAAAAGUAUCCAUAUAAUGGCUGUAACUCUGGACACCCUUUUCUCCUCGUAAUCCAUGAAGAAGAGACUUUAGCUGACAUCAAACUGCGCCUACAUGAGAAGUUUCAAGUCCCUGAUGAUGAGUUCUUCAAGUGGAAGUCUGCACGGGGUAAAUACUUUCAGGACUCUGACAUGUUAUUCCAUCACUUUGAGCGGGUGGAUGAUUGGUUAAAUAAAGGAAGUUCGCACUUUCCCAGUCUUUGCCUGGAGCACUCUUCCAAUUCCUGGAAAAGAACUUCUGCAUCAAAUCAGCAGCAAGAGGACGAGCUUAUGGUGGUGCAUUCACGUUACGUUCCGGGUCCCAAGCUGAUAGAAGCAGUGAGACAAGCAGAAAUUGUGAACCCAGCGAAGAGUCUUCCAAUCAAGGAUUCGUCAUCUACAAGAUUUGUGUGGACAAUCAAAAACUUUUCUAAGUUGGACGCGCUGGAAUACUACUCUGAUGUUUUCUCUGUCAGCUGUUGUGAGUGGCGAGCAAUGAUUUUUCCAAAAGGAAACAUUGUGGAUCACUUGUCAGUGUACCUAAACACUGCAGACUUGACUAGUUCAGUGUAUGCAGAGUUCAGUUAGGCAGUCGUGAAUCAAUCCCAUGCCAAGCACACAUUCAGAAUAGAUACACAACAUGAAUUUUCUCCGAGACAAAGUAGUUGGGGUGUUGCAUCGUUGAUUCCUCUUAGUGAACUCAAUGAUCCUGGUAAAGGUUAUAUCAUAAAUGACACUUGUAUAAUUGAAGCCAAUGUGUCUGUUGUUCGACCUAUAAAAAAACAAAAGCUUGGGGUCCCUUUUAUGGAGAAGUCCAGUGGCAAUUUUAUAAAGAAUAAUGCGCUCUCAGGCAACUUGAAGGAAAUUCACGCUGAGGUAAUACUGGAGUUUUGAAAGUCGAGGCACCAGAUGCAGAGACGCCAAACGAUGUUGCAACUAUUGAACCAUCCGAACUGUUAGGAAUAACAUCUUCUUUGCUCGAGUAUCCGUUAGCUGGUCAACUGUAUGAAGAGCCUCAAAACAUUCUAGAUGAGAACUUUGAAGAAAUCGGAGGCUUCAGUGUUUUGAGGACAGUCAUAUGGCUAAAAUAUGGUCACAUUGCUUCUAGCCAUGCUCCAACAUCUUCCUUAUAUUCUGCCGACAUCGCAUUGGUGACAGAUAUAAUGAUGUUUGUCAUUGAUAUGAACAACACCCGUUUCUCUAAGAUUUCUCCAUCAAGGAUCGACACAUGGGAACGUAAGCUAAGGAUGGCUGAGAAGCUCGAAUUCAAUAUCAAGUGGCUUCGUCAGCAUUUUGAGGUUAUUAAAAAGGUUUUCUAUGACGAUUAUCAGUCUAUGCAGGCAGAAAAGGCACGUUUUAUCCAAUUAGAAGAUGAAUUGAAGAAGGCACGAGAGACCAUAUCUGCUAUGGAGAUUGAGAGGGAAAAGUAUUUAGAAAAGGAGAACCGAUAUUUGUUUGAUGGGUCUUUGUAGUUGUAGUGUUAAGAAAUAAGGAA